UGGGGAAUAUUGCGCAAUGGGGGGCAACCCUGACGCAGCAACGCCGCGUGAUCGAAGAAGGUCUUCGGAUUGUAAAGAUCUUUUAUCAGGGACGAAUAAGAUGACGGUACCUGAUGAAUAAGCUCCGGCUAACUACGUGCCAGCAGCCGCGGUAAUACGUAGGGAGCGAGCGUUAUCCGGAUUUACUGGGUGUAAAGGGCGAGUAGGCGGGCUGGUAAGUUGGAAGUGAAAUGUCGGGGCUUAACCCCGGAACUGCUUUCAAAACUGCUGGUCUUGAGUGAUGGAGAGGCAGGCGGAAUUCCUAGUGUAGCGGUGAAAUGCGUAGAUAUUAGGAGGAACACCAGUGGCGAAGGCGGCCUGCUGGACAUUAACUGACGCUGAGGAGCGAAAGCGUGGGGAGCAAACAGGAUUAGAUACCC
rnacentral:rRNA from 1 species